rnacentral:rRNA from 1 species
GUAGGUGGCAAGCGUUGUCCGGAAUUAUUGGGCGUAAAGCGCGCGCAGGCGGUUCUUAAGUCUGAUGUGAAAGCCCACGGGCUCAACCGUGGAGGGUCAUUGGAAACUGGAGAACUUGAGUACAGAAAAGGAAAGCGGAAUUCCACGUGUAGCGGUGAAAUGCGUAGAGAUGUGGAGGAACACCAGUGGCGAAGGCGGCUUUCUGGUCUGUAACUGACGCUGAGGCGCGAAAGCGUGGGGAGCAAACAGGAUUAGAUACCCUGGUAGUCCACGCCGUAAACGAUGAGUGCUAAGUGUUAGGGGGUUUCCGCCCCUUAGUGCUGCAGCAAACGCAUUAAGCACUCCGCCUGGGGAGUACGGCCGCAAAGGCUG